GUGUAUUUAAUUUUUGUCAUUGUUUAGUACGGCAGUAAUUAUGAAUCCAGUAAAGUUGAAGAGAUCAUCUGCUAUCAUAAAGACAUUGUAAGUCUCGACAUAAAUCAAUCCCAGUCUGGAGAAGUCAGCAUCCGCAUAAUUAGAAAGAACUCGUCUCCGGAGGUCGUUUUCGUCGAGGAUUCUAUGAUAAAAGCGAAAAGUCUUAUGACAUUGAUUGAUGGCUUUUAUCGUUUGCUUGUGAACCCAUACAACCUUAAUGAAAUGUGGAUCUGGUCAUAAUAAAUCAUCUGCAAAACUCCAUCAGCAAUUUGGGAUCCAUGGACCGAUUGAGCAAAGAUGGUUGAUAAUCUCUUAAAGGCGGUA